GGUUCCGAGUGCGGCCGCUGCUGGGCUGGCGGGCGGGCAGGCAGAGCACGGCACCCUGGCAGCAGGGCCCACGCCACGGGGCCAUGGGCAGCUCGAGCCAGGCAGGCUGCAGCCCACGCUUACUGCCAGGGUGACCCCAGCCCCGGGGCCCAGCCCCAACCACCCUGGCUUCAUGCCAGGGGCUGCUCUGGCUGCCAGUCGGCCAGCCUCGGGGGUGCAGCCUGGGCUGGGACUGCUGCUGGGGUGCAGGUGAGGCACUGGCCGGGCCCUCAGGCCCCAGGGCAGGCAGGCUGCAGGGAGCCAAGUCCUCCAUGGCGGCCCCAGCUGGGAAGACGAACAGGACAGGGGCACUGCGGCCCAGGGCCCAGAAAGGCCGGGUGAGGCGGGCCGUGCGCAUCUCCAGCCUCGUGGCCCAGGAGGUCCUGUCCCUGGGCGCCGACGUGCUGCCUGAGUACAAGCUGCAGGCACCACGCAUCCACCGCUGGACCAUCCUGCAUUACAGCCCCUUCAAGGCCGUGUGGGACUGGCUCAUCCUGCUGCUGGUCAUCUACACGGCCGUCUUCACACCCUACUCGGCUGCCUUCCUGCUGAAGGAGACGGAAGAAGGCCCGCCUGCUACCGAGUGUGGCUACGCCUGCCAGCCGCUGGCUGUGGUGGACCUCAUCGUGGACAUCAUGUUCAUUGUGGACAUCCUCAUCAACUUCCGCACCACCUACGUCAAUGCCAACGAGGAGGUGGUCAGCCACCCCGGCCGCAUCGCCGUCCACUACUUCAAGGGUUGGUUCCUCAUCGACAUGGUGGCCGCCAUCCCCUUCGACCUGCUCAUCUUCGGCUCUGGCUCUGAGGAGCUGAUCGGGCUGCUGAAGACUGCGAGGCUGCUGCGGCUGGUGCGCGUGGCGCGGAAGCUGGAUCGCUACUCAGAGUACGGCGCGGCUGUGCUGUUCUUGCUCAUGUGCACCUUUGCACUCAUCGCGCACUGGCUGGCCUGCAUCUGGUACGCCAUCGGCAACAUGGAGCAGCCGCACAUGGACUCGCGCAUCGGCUGGCUGCACAACCUGGGCGACCAGAUAGGCAAGCCUUACAACAGCAGCGGCCUGGGCGGCCCCUCCAUCAAGGACAAGUACGUGACGGCGCUCUACUUCACCUUCAGCAGCCUCACCAGCGUGGGCUUCGGCAAUGUCUCUCCCAACACCAACUCAGAGAAGAUCUUCUCCAUCUGCGUCAUGCUCAUUGGCUCCCUCAUGUACGCUAGCAUCUUCGGCAACGUGUCGGCCAUCAUCCAGCGGCUGUACUCGGGCACAGCCCGCUACCACACACAGAUGCUGCGGGUGCGGGAGUUCAUCCGCUUCCACCAGAUCCCCAAUCCCCUGCGCCAGCGCCUCGAGGAGUACUUCCAGCACGCCUGGUCCUAUACCAAUGGCAUCGACAUGAACGCGGUGCUGAAGGGCUUCCCUGAGUGCCUGCAGGCUGACAUCUGCCUGCACCUGAACCGCUCACUGCUGCAGCACUGCAAACCCUUCCGAGGGGCCACCAAGGGCUGCCUUCGGGCCCUGGCCAUGAAGUUCAAGACCACACAUGCACCGCCAGGGGACACACUGGUGCAUGCUGGGGACCUGCUCACCGCCCUGUACUUCAUCUCCCGGGGCUCCAUCGAGAUCCUGCGGGGCGACGUCGUCGUGGCCAUCCUGGGUAUGGGGUGGGGGGCGGGCACUGGACUGGAAAUGCCCUCUGCAGCCUCAAGAGGUGCGAGCCUUCUGAAUAUGCAGUCACUGGGGCUGUGGACCUGGGACUGCCUGCAGGGUCACUGGGCUCCUUUAAUUCACCUAAACUCAGGCCCUCCAAGCGGGGCCAUGGAGAGGAGCCCCACGUGGGGUGGGGCUGCUGAACUCUGGGGUUCCCACAUUCUCCUUCCCUUCAGGAUCCGCCACAAACAGAUACUUUUUGCUUCGUUAAAGUAGGAUCAAAUCUAGAUCCUCCAGCCUGGGCAGUAGAGGAAGAAAUGCUAGCCUGGAAGCUCGGCAUUUGGUUUCACUAAGGGCCAUGUGGUUCCCUGCAGCCUCAUGCCUGGCCCCUUGACAUAUCCAAAGCAAAGGGAGUCCUGCCCCCUCCCCCCACUUCCUUUGUACCUUGCCUGUGCACAGUGGGUGGGUUGGUGUGUCUGGACACUGAGGACUUCCUCCCCUCUGCCUGUUCUUCCCUCGGCCCUGUGUGCCUCAGGGCAGAUAUAGCAAACUCUUUCAACCAUAGUUGAUAGUAGGACAUUUUAGAUUUUGUUUCUUAGCUCUGUACAAACACAAAUACACACCCCCACACAACUAAAAUCAAAGUUUCACUACAUAACACUGGGCCUUACUGCAUGUGGUUCGUUCUAGCAUUUCUGUUCUGUGCUGUGCUAAGCUAUACUACUGUAUGUUCUUUCAGUAAAAAAAA
rnacentral:sRNA from 1 species